rnacentral:rRNA from 1 species
UGGGGAAUAUUGGACAAUGGGCGAAAGCCUGAUCCAGCCAUGCCGCGUGUGUGAAGAAGGUCUUCGGAUUGUAAAGCACUUUAAGUUGGGAGGAAGGGCAUUAACCUAAUACGUUAGUGCUUUGACGUUACCGACAGAAUAAGCACCGGCUAACUCUGUGCCAGCAGCCGCGGUAAUACAGAGGGUGCAAGCGUUAAUCGGAAUUACUGGGCGUAAAGCGCGCGUAGGUGGUUUGUUAAGUUGAAUGUGAAAUCCCCGGGCUCAACCUGGGAACUGCAUCCAAAACUGGCAAGCUAGAGUAUGGUAGAGGGUGGUGGAAUUUCCUGUGUAGCGGUGAAAUGCGUAGAUAUAGGAAGGAACACCAGUGGCGAAGGCGACCACCUGGACUGAUACUGACACU